rnacentral:tRNA from 1 species
GGGCCUCUAGCUCAUGCUUGGUUAGAACAGCGGGCUCAUAACCCGAUGCCGUGUUCGACUCCCGGGAGGCCCACCA